rnacentral:rRNA from 1 species
UACGUAGGGGGCAAGCGUUGUCCGGAAUCAUUGGGCGUAAAGGGCGCGUAGGCGGUCCGGUAAGUCCGCUGUGAAAGUCCGGGGCUCAACCCCGGGAGGCGGGCGGAUACUGUCGGGCUAGAGUCCGGAAGAGGCGAGUGGAAUUCCUGGUGUAGCGGUGGAAUGCGCAGAUAUCAGGAGGAACACCGAUGGCGAAGGCAGCUCGCUGGGACGGUACUGACGCUGAGGCGCGAAAGCGUGGGGAGCGAACAGG